CUCUGUCAUUUAUUUGUUAUGCAUUUCAAUUCUUCCAUUAAUGUCUUUUGUCAGGCUAAUUAUAAAGAUCCUUUUCCAUAUUUGCCCCAGAUCUAGGAUUGAUCUCUGAAUCUGCAGAUAAUUCUGUCUUACUAAUUGUAACCUUCCCUGUUGGAGACAUUGGCCAGAUGAUGCCUAAGUCUGGCAGGGAGUGACUAUUGCUGGCAUGAGGAGACUGGAACUUUGUCCAAGUUUGCCCUGGCUCAGUACUUCGGUGACAGUCACAUGUCCACAAACUUACAUGGACUCAAAGUAGGAUACUAACUUUUCUCUAAUGCAGUGUCUCUUGUCCCUGGUGGAAUAUUGUAAUCACUUUGGAGUCUAAAACCAAACAAGCCAACAACCCACAAUAACAAUAAUAACAACAAAAUCUACCUAGGUGACACCCACAUCAUUUAUGUCAGAGUCUUGGAGGCUGAGUUCGAGACUGAAAACUACUGUUCUAGAGUUUUAAUUGGUCACAAUGCACAGGACUCACUGCAUUUUUUAAUACCACAUUAUCUAUUAAGACUAACAUGUAGAUAAAAUCUACAAAAUUCCAGCAUGACAUACUGAAGCAGUGGACUUCCACCAGGGAUGACUAUGUCCCAGACAUUUGGGAAUGUCUGAAGACAUUUUUGUUGAUCAGAACAGGGAAAGGGGAUGUUACUGGCAUAUAAUGGAUAGAAGGCAGAGAUGCUAAGCUCCCUACGCUACACAAGUCAGCUUCUAGCAAGAAAGAAUUAUCCAGCCCAAAUUGUCAAUUGUCUUGAGGUUGAGAAACCUUGCCUAAAGGAAGGUGACUUUUUCUGUUUGUCAGUAACCUAUCUGUAAGAUCUACUGAACUGAAUUGCAAGGCUCCCAAAAGGUAAAAGGAGGUUCAGUACAGUUUUCUGUAAAAACAUUAGUAAGGAACUAGCUGAUUGUUAAAAAUCAUCUUUAUAUUCUCCUUUACUCUACAAAAAGAUGUUCUUAGUGAAGAUAUGGAGAAUCCAGAUUUUAUUAAAUCUGUUCUUCAGUUGGCUGGUGAGAAACUGGUCACUUCUCCAAACACCAGUCAAAAACAUCUGAGGGUGUUCACACUUGCAGCAGAUUCCAGAUCUGCUCCAAAUUUACAUUUCCCAGCAGUUUCAAUGCCAUCCUUCUUGACAGCCUUCCCCCAAAUAAAUAUUUCCAUUCUGCAAGGCUGCGGAGGCCUCAGGAAACACAAUCAAGGUGGAAGGGGAAGCAAAUAUGUCCUUCAUCACAUCGUGGCAGGAGAGAGAAGAAAGUGCAAGAGGGGAAAAGCCCCAUAUAAAACCAUCAGACCUUCUGAGAACUCACUCAUCAUCACA
rnacentral:lncRNA from 10 species